rnacentral:rRNA from 1 species
UACGGGGGGGGCAAGCGUUGUUCGGAAUUACUGGGCGUAAAGGGCGCGUAGGCGGCCAGACAAAGUCGAGCGUUAAAUUCCAGGGCUUAACCCUGGGCUGUUGCUCGAUACUAGUCGGCUAGAGUGUGGAAGAGGGUGCUGGAAUUCCCGGUGUAGCGGUGAAAUGCGUAGAUAUCAGGAGGAACACCAAUGGCGAAGGCAGCACUCUGGGACGUGACUGACGAUGAGACGCGAAAGCGUGGGGAGCAAACAGG